UACAUCUAUGCGCAUCGUUCA
rnacentral:siRNA from 1 species